AGAGGGGGCAAGCGUUAUUCGGAAUUAUUGGGCGUAAAGGGCGCGUAGGCGGCCGUGCAAGUGGAAGGUGAAAUCCCUCGGCUCAACCGAGGAACUGCCUUUCAAACUGCUUGGCUUGAGUCCGGGAGAGGUGAGUGGAAUUCCCAGUGUAGCGGUGAAAUGCGUAGAUAUUGGGAGGAACACCAGUGGCGAAGGCGGCUGCCUGGCCCAAUACUGACACUCAGGUGCGACAGCGUGGGGAGCAAACAGGAUUAGAUACCCUGGUAGUCCACGCCGUAAACGAUGUCGAUUUGGAGGCUGUGUCCUUGAGACGUGGCUUCCGGAGCUAACGCGUUAAAUCGACCGCCUGGGGAGUACGGCCGCNAUAUNG
rnacentral:rRNA from 1 species